rnacentral:tRNA from 1 species
GUGCCCAUAGCUCAGCCUGGAUAGAGCGUUGGUUUGCGGAGCCAAAGGUCGCAGGUUCAAAUCCUGCUGGGCAUACCA